UACGUAGGUGGCAAGCGUUGUCCGGAUUUAUUGGGCGUAAAGCGCGCGCAGGCGGUUUCUUAAGUCUGUUGUGAAAGCCCCGGGCUCAACCUGGGAAUGGCAAUGGAUACUGGCAGGCUAGAGUGCGGUAGAGGGUAGUGGAAUUCCCGGUGUAGCGGUGAAAUGCGUAGAGAUCGGGAGGAACACCAGUGGCGAAGGCGGCUACCUGGACCAGCACUGACACUGAGGCACGAAAGCGUGGGGAGCAAACAGG
rnacentral:rRNA from 1 species